rnacentral:rRNA from 1 species
UACGUAGGGUGCAAGCGUUGUCCGGAAUUAUUGGGCGUAAAGAGCUCGUAGGCGGUUUGUCGCGUCUGCUGUGAAAACUCGGGGCUUAACCCCGGGCCUGCAGUGGGUACGGGCAGACUGGAGUACUGCAGGGGAGACUGGAAUUCCUGGUGUAGCGGUGGAAUGCGCAGAUAUCAGGAGGAACACCAAUAGCGAAGGCAGCUCGCUGGGACGUUACUGACACUGAGGCGCGAAAGCGUGGGGAGCGAACAGG